rnacentral:rRNA from 1 species
CCUACGGGGCGCAGCAGUGGGGAAUAUUGGACAAUGGGCGAAAGCCUGAUCCAGCCAUGCCGCGUGUGUGAAGAAGGCCUUCGGGUUGUAAAGCACUUUCAGUGGGGAAGAAAGCCUUGGGGCUAAUACCCUCGAGGAAGGACAUCACCCACAGAAGAAGCACCGGCUAACUCCGUGCCAGCAGCCGCGGUAAUACGGAGGGUGCGAGCGUUAAUCGGAAUUACUGGGCGUAAAGCGCGCGUAGGCGGUCUGAUAAGCCGGUUGUGAAAGCCCCGGGCUCAACCUGGGAACGGCAUCCGGAACUGUCAGGCUAGAGUGCAGGAGAGGAAGGUAGAAUUCCCGGUGUAGCGGUGAAAUGCGUAGAGAUCGGGAGGAAUACCAGUGGCGAAGGCGGCCUUCUGGACUGACACUGACGCUGAGGUGCGAAAGCGUGGGUAGCAAAUAGGAUUAGAUACCCGAGUAGUC